GGGUGAGUAAUAUAUCGGAACAUGUCCGGAAGUGGGGGAUAACGUAGCGAAAGUUACGCUAAUACCGCAUAUGCCCUGAGGGGGAAAGGGGGGGAUCGCAAGACCUCUCGCUUUCGGAGUGGCCGAUAUCGGAUUAUCUANUAGGUGAGGUAAAGGCUCACCUAGGCGACGAUCCGUAUCUGGUCUGAGAGGACGACCAGCCACACUGGAACUGAGACACGGUCCAGACUCCUACGGGAGGCAGCAGUGGGGAAUUUUGGACAAUGGGCGCAAGCCUGAUCCACCCAUACCGCGUGAGUGAAUAAGGCCUUCGGGUUGUAAAGCUCUUUCUNCCGGAAAGAAAUCGCGCUUUUUAAUACAAAGUGUGGAUGACGGUACCGGAAGAAAAAACACCGGCUAACUACGUGCCAGCAGCCGCGGUAAA
rnacentral:rRNA from 1 species